AUUGAACGCUGGCGGCAGGCCUAACACAUGCAAGUCGAACGAGUGGCGGACGGGUGAGUAAUGUAUGGGAAACUGCCCGAUGGAGGGGGCUAACUACUGGAAACGGUAGAUAAUACCGCAUACCAUCGGAUGUGCCCAGAUGGGAUUAGCUAGUGGGUGGGGUAACGGCUCACCUAGGCGACGAUCCCUAGCUGGUCUGAGAGGAUGACUGGCCACACUGGAACUGAGACACGGUCCAGAAUCCUACGGGAGGCAGCAGUGGGGAAUAUUGGGCAAUGGGCGCAAGCCUGAUACAGCCAGGCCGCGUGUAUGAAGAAGGCCUUCGGGUUGUAAAGUACUUUCAUCGGGGAGGCGUUACUCGCAGAAGAAGCACCGGCUAACUCCGUGCCAGCAGCCGCGGUAAUAC
rnacentral:rRNA from 1 species